UACGGUGGGAGCAAGCGCUGUUCGGAAUUACUGGGCGUAAAGGGCUCGUAGGCGGCCAACUAAGUCAGACGUGAAAUCCCUCGGCUUAACCGGGGAACUGCGUCUGAUACUGGAUGGCUUGAGUUUGGGAGAGGGACCCGGAAUUCCAGGUGUAGCGGUGAAAUGCGUAGAUAUCUGGAGGAACACCGGUGGCGAAGGCGGCGUCCUGGACCAACACUGACACUGAUGAGCGAAAGCCAGGGGAGCAAACGGG
rnacentral:rRNA from 1 species